rnacentral:pre_miRNA from 1 species
GGGAGAGCCGUUCCGUGACUGUGGAACCUCGGGAACACUGUCAUGGAGUUGCUCUCUUUU